CCUACGGGUGGCAGCAGUGGGGAAUAUUGCACAAUGGGGGAAACCCUGAUGCAGCAACGCCGCGUGAAGGAAGACGGCUCUAUGAGUUGUAAACUGCUUUUGUACAAGGGUAAACCUGAAUACGUGUAUUCAGCUGAAAGUACUGUACGAAUAAGGAUCGGCUAACUCCGUGCCAGCAGCCGCGGUAAUACGGAGGAUCCAAGCGUUAUCCGGAUUCAUUGGGUUUAAAGGGUGCGCAGGCGGGCCUUUAAGCCGGCGGUGAAAUCGCGGGGCUCAACCCCGCCGAGCCGUCGGAACUGGGGGCCUUGAGUGCGGCGGAGGCAUGCGGAAUGCGCGGUGUAGCGGUGAAAUGCAUAGAUAUCGCGCAGAACCCCGAUUGCGAAGGCAGCGUGCCGUGCCGCCACUGACGCUGAGGCACGAAAGCGCGGGGAUCGAACAGGAUUAGAUACCCCGGUAGUC
rnacentral:rRNA from 1 species